GCCCCUAUGUUGGAAUAGGUAGACAAGACAGACUUAAAAUCUGUUGGCCAUUAUAGGCUGUGUGGGUUCGAGUCUCACUGGGGGUA
rnacentral:tRNA from 1 species